CGCGUGCGCGUCUCUGAAACGGGGACUUGGGAGCGCGCGCUGCCCCUCACUUGGCUGCAACUGGACCCAGAACUAGGGAAGAGGCCAGGGACAGAUUUUUUUUUUUUAUUUUUAUUUUUUUUGCCGAGGGACGUUUCAAAAUUUUGCACGGCCAGGGUGACAAAAAGAGGAUUUAAGAGCCACAAGCGGUCCGCACAUGACCCAGACUUCGUUCCUGUGCGGCUUCCAGAGGUGUUCAUGCAGAAGACUGGAUGCAGGACCCUUGGUGGCACCAGUGUGCAGAUGAGCAGAUAGUGACUGAUUGCCACUGGGGUAAGUUGGAAAUUACCACUCACUUCUCUGGAUUCAUGUCUCAAAUAAAACAAAUUACUAAGCCACUGAGAAAGAGGCAACAACCCCUCCAACAUUAAGGGCCAGAAAAAGGUCCUCUGCUUAUAUGAAAGUGAUAACAUAAAAGGUAGGAAAACCUUCUUUCUCCAGGACCCAGAAAAAGACCCAUUCCUUCUGGGAGAAGGGUAGAAUUAAAAUAUCUCUACCUCUUGGAAAUUUGAAAGAAAACUUUUGGGCCCAGGUUCCUGGACUGAUACAAAGCAGAGGUCUGCUACAACUGGAGUAUGGGCAGGAUCCAGGGGGAAAAGGGGAGCAGGAAUGCUGAAAAGCCAAAGCUUCAAGGCCCGGGUGUAUAGGAUCUGCCUAAGACUGAGACUGGGUCAUUAGAGCCAAGAAUCUCAUCUUCUCUCCAAGAGCUUCAAACUGAGUAACCAGCAAUAAUAGUCUACCAACUGGGACCAGGACAAAGGAUGGCUAUAACAAAAUAUAAUAAACUGGGUACCUUAGAAGCAACGGAAAUUGAUUUCUCAUCGUUCUAGAAGCUAGGAAGUUCACGAUCAAGGUAGCAGCAGAGUUGGUGCCUGCUCUGGAGGCUGGAAAUCCAACAACAGAGUGCCAGCAUGAUCAGGUUCUGGAGAGGACCCUCUUCCUGUUUGCAGACUGCUGACUUCUUAUUGUAUAUUCCAAUGGUAGAAAGAGAGCAAGAGAACUCUCUGGAGUCUUUUUUUUAUAAGGGUGCUAACCCCAUUUAAGGAGGUUUCCCCUCAUAAUCUAAUUAUCUCUCAAAAGCCAUACCUUUCAACACCAUUGCAUUGAAGCAGGUAUGCUCACUCUUUCACUAACCUUGAGAGACAUUGUCAGAUGUGCAUAAGGGAAGAACAUGAAGGACGACGGAUAAACUGUACACAGACACAGCACAUGGAGUCUGAGUCAUUUGUUUUCUCUGACAGAUCUUUACCAUGCUGGAUUGGAAGAGAAAAGACCAUCACUAAAGCAAAUGGAUCAAAUGGAGUUAUAAAUCAACUCUGUACUCUACAGGAUUGACUCAACUGCAGACAUCUCCAAUACACUCCCUCAUGGCUUUAUUUUUUCUGCUUAUGUGGAAAAAUAACAGUAAAUACAGUUAACUAUCCCAAGACAGAAGAGUAUUAUUAAAAAAGAAUACAACGUUAUUGAUUUUUCAAGACAUAAUCAGAUAUUUUUAAACUCUGAUUUAAUAAAACAUAAUGUAAUUUCUUUUGUGGGAUUUUUUAUGCUUUCCCAAUGUUUAUUACCCUGUGUGUUUCACACUUCAAAAUGAGAGUAUCGUAAUAAGAUCACUUGAGAGGAUCCUGAUCUAAGUUACAAAAUCCCCAUGGCCUUUAUAUCCACAUUGUCACAUUCCCCCAGUCAUCUCUUUCUACUUUAUUGUAUCUAUUACACUUUACACUUAUUUAUGUUUUUCUAUUUACUUUAUAUAUACAAUAUCAUGGGGUACAUAGUGUAAGAGGAAGGAUGGCACUAGCAAGUAUUCCUAAGUUGGUUUAGGGAAUGGGAAUAAGGGUA
rnacentral:lncRNA from 1 species